UUUAGAAUGUUAAUGUUUUUGCCUGAGUAGUAUUAGUUAUGUUCUUGAAACUUAAAGAAUUUGGCGGUAUCUCAUUCCGUUCAGAGGAAUCUGUCUCGUUAUCGAUAGUCCGCGUUGGACCUUACUUAGUUGAAUUGGUUUGUAUACCGCCGUUUAUUGAUUAUCUUUUUAGGGUUUAUUAAUUUUCUGGUUUCUUUAUUUUGAUUUAUUUCAGGUCAAGGUGCAGCUUGUUUCUAAGUGGAAAAUGAUGGAUUACAUUGUUAUUUGUUUGUGGAUUGUUGAUUUUAAUAUUGAUAUGAAAUUGGAUUUGGUUGUAAUAAUUUGUAGAUUAUUAUUAUGAUAAUUGGUUCUGGGAUAUGU
rnacentral:rRNA from 1 species